GAUGAACGCUGGCGGCGUGCCUAAUACAUGCAAGUCGAGCGAACGGACGAGAAGCUUGCUUUUCUGAUGUUAGCGGCGGACGGGUGAGUAACACGUGGAUAACCUACCUAUAAGACUGGGAUAACUUCGGGAAACCGGAGCUAAUACCGGAUAAUAUUUUGAACCGCAUGGUUCAAAAGUGAAAGACGGUCUUGCUGUCACUUAUAGAUGGAUCCGCGCUGCAUUAGCUAGUUGGUAAGGUAACGGCUUACCAAGGCAACGAUGCAUAGCCGACCUGAGAGCGUGAUCGGCCACACUGGAACUGAGACACGGUCCAGACUCCUACGGGAGGCAGCAGUAGGGAAUCUUCCGCAAUGGGCGAAAGCCUGACGGAGCAACGCCGCGUGAGUGAUGAAGGUCUUCGGAUCGUAAAACUCUGUUAUUAGGGAAGAACAUAUGUGUAAGUAACUGUGCACAUCUUGACGGUACCUAAUCAGAAAGCCACGGCUAACUACGUG
rnacentral:rRNA from 1 species